rnacentral:rRNA from 1 species
UACAGAGGUCUCAAGCGUUGUUCGGAUUCAUUGGGCGUAAAGGGUGCGUAGGCGGCGCGGUAAGUCGGGUGUGAAAUCUCGGGCUUAACUCCGAAACUGCAUUCGAUACUGCCGUGCUUGAGGACUGGAGAGGAGACUGGAAUUUACGGUGUAGCGGUGAAAUGCGUAGAUAUCGUAAGGAAGACCAGUGGCGAAGGCGGGUCUCUGGACAGUUCCUGACGCUGAGGCACGGAAG